rnacentral:piRNA from 1 species
UAGAAGAACAGUUGGCUGGAC